GCAGAGUUUUGGUUGUCUCUGAUCCUUCUUUGUGAAAACUAAAGUUUUAAGUAUUAGUUCAGUAACACUUACAGAAAAGAAUAACAAGAUGUCUUCAUCUUUCUUGUGUGUUAAAUGCAACAAACACAGUACAGCUGUUGCUUUACGACUUAAUUGCUGAAAACGUCUUUGCUUUAAAAUGUCACUGCAAAUGCUGCUAUCUGAAGGCUGAAGGUGCGCUCAUCACAUCACAGGGACGCAAAGCAUAUCUUGCCAGCUUGCUCAUACAUGUAACAUGUAAUAUAUAAAAAGUAUUAUAUUCCGCCUUAAAACACCACUUCCCGAAUGUCUGUAAUUCGUACAUUAAGGAUUUCAACAAUAUCGUUAUCUGUAUUGGUAUAACGUUAGUUGUGAUGUGAACUCCUCCGCUAUUCUCCUUAAUUUAGAAUGAUUUUUAAAAGUUAUAACUUAAUUAUUGUUUAUCGUUAUAGUGUGAACGUCCAUUAAAGCUGGGUAUAUAUAUCUCUGUUAACUAUUACAAUAAUUAAAAAGCUAUUUUUGUCAUAUUAAUCACAGUACAACGUUGUCACAAUGUAGCCAACCUUUUAAGCACGUUGUAACAACGUUAUCAAAAGGUUGAUGUUUCUACGUUAUGUGGUGAAGUUGUCACAACGUUGUCACAAAGUAUCUUUUAACCUGCCUUCGGGGCCAUUGCUUUAGGUUCUGUGUAUGUUGUAUGGACAACCAGCAAACGGCAUUUAACCGUCACUGUACAGAAGCGCGAAUUUCAGAUGGGCUGUCUGUCAGAGAAGAGACCACUCUGAUUCAUCAGAAGAAUGCGUGAGUAUUGCUUUAAAUUUCAGUCACCAAAAUAGAUAAACAAAUAACUGAAUCAAUACAAUUUAACAAGGUAAUCAUAACGAGAAUACCCAGCAAACAAUGACCUGGCGGUGUAAUGCAGAGAAAUGCUUCUUUUAUGUUUCGCAGAACAAUGAAAGUAAUGUAAAGUAUCAUUUUGAGGUGAACUACUCCUUUAAACAAACUAUAGUACUAUUGCUCCAAAUAAGCAAACUAUUUUCUUUAGAAAAUGUAGAAAUCUUGGAAAUGCUCCAGCAUGUUUUAUUAUGGGUUGUUCUCUCUUGCUUCACAGGAAUUUGCUGAUUCUUUAGCUAUCCCAUUUCUUGAGACAAGUGCUAAGAAUGCCACAAAUGUAGAACAAGCUUUCAUGACCAUGGCUGCCGAAAUCAAGAAACGCAUGGGUCCUGGAGCAACAACCGGUGGUGACAAGCCCAACCUGAAGAUCGAAAGCACUCCUGUGCGGCAGUCUGGUGGUGGCUGCUGUUGAAGAGCCUAAACUCGCAUACUCACAACCACACCCUUCCCCCACGCAUAUUAUCACAUGCACCAAAAAGCAUUCUCACAGGACGAACCACUGCAUUAAGAGCCAUUUUUUUAAAUCUUCCUUUGACUUCACUGACCUGUUUUGUUUUUAUUCUUUUAGUCUCUCCUUUUCUCCCUUAACCAUAUCCUUUUCCUGCUCAUCUCCCCCCACACAUCCAUAGCCCCACCCCUAUCUUCUUGUGGCGCUUUUCCACUGCAUGGUACCUUCAGGUUUAGUAUGACUCGGCUCAGUACAGCUCAUUUCACUUCGGCUCAGUUUGCUUUUCCAUAGCAGUUUAGUACCGCUUCAAAGUGGGUGGGGAUUAUAAACUUCUACUGUUUUUCCACAGCAGUUUAGUACCGCUUCAAAGUGGGUGGGGAUUAUAAACGUCUACUGCCGUAGCAUCAUUUUGAAUGCGACAAACACACGCACAACACAGGAGUUAUGGAGCAUAUCGAUGGCAGAUGGCAGCAAAACAAAAUACUGCUAAAAUACCAGAGAGUUUGGGAAAUCUUACAGCAAAGAGCAGACAACGAUGCUCGACGGCGCACGAGGAUGAAGAAGAUGCUGUGAUCCCUGAAGCCAUCUACAGCGAACUCGAGGUCCAGCUUCUGACAGUGUAACAAUUUACGCAUAAAAUUCAACACACUCAAAGAGGAGAACAAGCAGCAUUUCAGUUACUCUACUGGGUGUUUUCUUUACUGGUUCUAUUAGAUGUUUUUAUUGACUUUGAAAUGCAAGUCGUGCGUUGACAUUUUAUAGGACACUUUCAGUUCUAACAUUGUCUAUUUCAUGUUUUAUGAAUAUAUAAUAAUUAUUUUAAUGUUCAUAAUUGUGACAGUUCUUAUUAGCACACUGCUGUAGUUGAAGCUACUACACUUUCAAUAUUGUGACAAAUAAACCACACUUUGAUUUUAACAGUAAGAAGUAUACCAGUAAUCAAGUAUACUGGACAUUCUCUACUAUUAAGUGUAUUGUUUUUAAAAAAUUUAGUAUAUCGAGCAAAAUCUAUUGAUGUUCGGAACAUCAUUGACUGAUGCUAAAGAAUAAACGCAACACUGGAUACAUUAAUUUGGUUUUAUUUGUACAAAUUGUAAUGUAAAUAAAAAUAACGUAAAUAUAUAGGCUACUUAUGACAUUUCUGUACUGUACGUAAUAUGCAUUAUAUGUGCUUGUGCAGUCAUCCAUAUUUUAGUUCUUAGUGUGUACUUUUUUGUGUGUAACUAAAAUGUCUUUGUAUGCAGCUGUGACAUGACAAUAAAGAUAUUAUAUUUUCAAAA